GACGAACGCUGGCGGCGUGCUUAACACAUGCAAGUCGAACGCUGAAGCUCAGCUUUUGUUGGGUGGAUGAGUGGCGAACGGGUGAGUAACACGUGAGUAACCUGCCUCCCUCUUUGGGAUAACGCCCGGAAACGGGUGCUAAUACUGGAUAUUCACUGGUCUUCGCAUGGGGGUUGGUGGAAAGGGUUUUUCUGGUGGGGGAUGGGCUCGCGGCCUAUCAGCUUGUUGGUGGGGUGAUGGCCUACCAAGGCUUUGACGGGUAGCCGGCCUGAGAGGGUGACCGGUAACAUUGGGACUGAGAUACGGCCCAGACUCCUACGGGAGGCAGCAGUGGGGAAUAUUGCACAAUGGGCGCAAGCCCGAUGCAGCGACGCCGCGUGAGGGAUGGAGGCCUUCGGGUUGUGAACCUCUUUCGCUCAUGGUCAAGCCGCAACAAUGGUUGUGGUGAAGGUAGUGGGUAAAGAAGCGCCGGCUAACUACGUG
rnacentral:rRNA from 1 species